UUGACCGCUCCGCCAAACCCCGUCGGCGGUCAUGAGUAUCCAGUUUCAAGGCGGGGGCGGAGGACCCAACAACGGUGCAUGCUGCGCCUUGGGGUGAGGCCGGCCCUGCGACGCCCAAUCUUGGGGUCAGAAGCGGGGCGGGCCGGACAGUCCACUCGUCCGAAUCCGACAGCUAACUUCGCCGGCGCCGAGAGGACCC
rnacentral:sRNA from 2 species